AUGAAGAGGAUGGUCACUUUGAGUUACAACCACUUGCCAUCUCAUCUUAAAUCAUGUUUCUUAUACCUAAGCAUCUUUCCCGAGGAUUUAGAAAUUCAGACGAGGCGUCUAGUAGAAAGAUGGAUUGCUGAGGGGUUUAUUAGAGCUAGGACUGGGGUGAAAGUUGAGGAUGUCGCAAAAGGUUACUUUAAUGAGUUAAUCAACCGAAGCCUGCUUCAACCAUCAAUAGUGAACAUAGAAGGAGUUGUUAAGAGCUUUCGAGUCCAUGAUAUUGUGCGGGAUGUCAUGAUCUCAAUUUCUCAAGAUGAAAACUUCAUAUAUGUAGUGGGAGAUAAUGUAACUAGUGUUGCCGAGGAGACCUUCCGACAUGUAGCAUACCAUGGUGUCAUGUGCCAAAAGUUAGACAUUGAUUGGAGCCAUGUCUGGUCAGUAACUGUGUUUGGUGAGAGAUCAUUGGGGCCAUCACCUUUAGUUUGUUCACCUCAUAUGAGAAUGCUCCGAGCCCAGGAACAUAGGCUUGUUGCACCACUUGAAGUAUGCGAAUUUGUCUAG
rnacentral:rRNA from 1 species